rnacentral:snoRNA from 1 species
UUUUAAUGAUGACAAUUAAAACUUGGUCUGUGUUACUGAAGUUACAUUGUGAUGAUAAACAAAAUUAUUGACUGAACAA